rnacentral:rRNA from 1 species
UACGAAGGGGGCUAGCGUUGUUCGGAAUCACUGGGCGUAAAGCGCACGUAGGCGGAUCUUUAAGUCAGGGGUGAAAUCCCGAGGCUCAACCUCGGAACUGCCUUUGAUACUGGGGAUCUCGAGUCCGGGAGAGGUGAGUGGAACUGCGAGUGUAGAGGUGAAAUUCGUAGAUAUUCGCAAGAACACCAGUGGCGAAGGCGACUUACUGGACACAUAUCGACGCUGAGGUGCGAAAGCGUGGGGGAGCAAACAGGG